rnacentral:rRNA from 1 species
CCUACGGGGGGCAGCAGUGGGGAAUAUUGCACAAUGGGGGAAACCCUGAUGCAGCGACGCCGCGGGAGUGAAGAAGUAAUUCGUUACGUAAAGCUCUAUCAGCAGGGAAGAAACACUGACCUUACGGUCAGCAGACGGUACCUGAGUAAGAAGCCCAGGCUAACUACGUGCCAGCAGCCGCGGUAAUACGUAGGGGGCAAGCGUUAUCCGGAUUUACUGGGUGGAAAGGGGGCGCAGACGGCAAUGCAAGCCAGGAGUGAAAGCCCUGGGCCCAACCCCGGGACUGCGCCUGGAACUGCAUGGCUGGAGUACAGGAGGGGCAGGCGGAAUUCCUAGUGUAGCGGUGAAAUGCGUAGAUAUUAGGAGGAACACCGGUGGCGAAGGCGGCCUGCUGGACUGUGACUGACGUUGAGGCCCGAAGGCGUGGGGAGCAAACAGGAUUAGAUACCCUUGUAGUC